AAUUUCCCCCCAUUUUUACGGGGUUUCCCUGUUUUUGGAGUAUUUCCCCCUUUUUUGGUUAUUUUUCCUAUUUUUGGGGUUAUUUCCCCGUUUUUAUGAGUUUUCCCUUUUUGGGGGGAAUUUUUCCCAAUUUUUGGGAUUAUUUUCCCUAUUUUCGCGGAAUUUUUCCCUAUUUUAGGGGCAUUUCCCCCCAUUUUUAUGGGGUUCCCCUAUUUUAGGUUAUUUCCCCUAUUUUUUUAUUUUAUUUUUUUUUUUGUAUUUCCCCUAUUUUUGGGGUUAUUUCCAGUUUUUUAUGGGGUUCCCCUAUUUUGGGGAAUUUUCCCUAUUUUUGGGAUUAUCUCCCCUAAUUUUUUGGGGGGUUAUUCCCCCUAAUUUUGGGGUUGUUUCCAUUUUGGGGUCAUUUUCCCUAUUUUGGGGAUUUCCCCCGGUUUUUUUUUUAUGGGGUUUAUUUGCCAGGAUUUGGGGACGCCGUCGGGAUUUGGGGACAUCGCUGGGAUUUGGGGACAUCGCUGGGAUUUGGGGACACUCGGAUUUGGGGACAUCAGGAUUUGGGGGACAUCGGGAUGGUGACAUGGGGGAUUUGGGGACAUUGGGAACCUGGGGACACUCGGAUUUGGGGACAUCAGGGGUUUGGGGACAUCGGGAUGGUGACAUCGGGAUUUGGGGACAUCGGGAUGGUGACAUCGGGAUUUGGGGACAUUGGGAACCUGGGGACACUCGGAUUUGGGGACAUCGGGGGUUUGGGGACAAUGCUGGGAUUUGGGGACAUCAGGAUUUGGGGACAUCGGGAUGGUGACAUAGGGGAUUUGGGGACACGGGGGCCCUGUGGCCCUGCCCGGCCGCUGGCGCGGGGACAAGGACACGGCGGGGACAGAGGGAUUGUCGCCAGGGCGGGGUGACGGGGACAGCGACAGCG
rnacentral:lncRNA from 12 species